rnacentral:rRNA from 1 species
UACGUAGGGUGCGAGCGUUGUCCGGAAUUACUGGGCGUAAAGGGCGCGUAGGCGGUUCGCUAAGUUAGAUGUGAAAACUCUGGGCUCAACCCAGAGCCUGCAUCCAAAACUGGCGGGCUAGAGUUCUGGAGGGGGUAGCGGAAUUCCUGGUGUAGCGGUGAAAUGCGUAGAUAUCAGGAGGAACACCGGUGGCGAAGGCGGCUACCUGGACAGAAACUGACGCUGAGGCGCGAAAGCUAGGGGAGCAAACAGG